rnacentral:rRNA from 1 species
GACGGAGGAUGCAAGCGUUAUCCGGAAUGAUUGGGCGUAAAGCGUCCGCAGGUGGCAGUUCAAGUCUGCUGUCAAAGACCGGGGCUUAACUUCGGAAAGGCAGUGGAAACUGAACAGCUAGAGUAUGGUAGGGGCAGAGGGAAUUCCUGGUGUAGCGGUGAAAUGCGUAGAGAUCAGGAAGAACAUCGGUGGCGAAGGCGCUCUGCUGGGCCAUAACUGACGCUGAGGCACGAAAGCGUGGGUAGCAAACAGG